AACGAACGCUGGCGGCAGGCUUAACACAUGCAAGCCGAGCGCCCCGCAAGGGGAGCGGCAGACGGGUGAGUAACACGUGGGAACCUUCCUAGAGGUACGGAACAACUCAGGGAAACUUGAGCUAAUACCGUAUACGCUCUUGCGAGGAAAGAUUUAUCGCCUUUAGACGGGCCCGCGUCGGAUUAGCUAGUUGGUGGGGUAACGGCCUACCAAGGCGACGAUCCGUAGCUGAUCUUCGAGGAUGAUCAGCCACACUGGGACUGAGACACGGCCCAGACUCCUACGGGAGGGAGCAGUGGGGAAUCUUGGACAAUGGGCGCAAGCCUGAUCCAGCCAUGCCGCGUGAGUGAAGAAGGCCUUCGGGUUGUAAAGCUCUUUUGCCAGGGACGAUAAUGACGGUACCUGGAGAAUAAGCCCCGGCAAACUUCGUGCCAGCAGCCGCCGCAG
rnacentral:rRNA from 1 species